rnacentral:rRNA from 1 species
UCGUGGAUUGGUUUGUCAGGUUAAUUCCGUUAACGAACGAGACCUUAACUUUUAACUAGGCGGCUAGUACAUCGAAGCUCUUUUGGGCUUUUGGUGUGCAUGUUUCAAUGGAAGGCAACUUCCUGGAAACUGGUCUUGGUGGCAGUGGCGAUAGGCCAGAGCUCGUCUGGUCUGUCCUACUGUCUAGCUUCUUAGAAGGACAAUGCAGCGUUUUGUAUGGUUAGCGUAGGGAAGUUUGAGG